rnacentral:rRNA from 1 species
ACAAGCGGUGGAUCAUGUUGUUUAAUUUCGAUGAUACGCGAAGAACCCUUACCAGGUCUUGACACUCCCCCGCGAUGCUUUAGAGAAUAAAGCGGAGGUAUUCGGGGAGACAGGUGGUGCAUGGUUGUCGUCAGCUCGUGUCGUGAGAUGUUGGGUUAAGUCCCGCAACGAGCGCAACCCCUAUUGCUAGUUACCAUCAUUAAGUUGGGGACUCUAGCGAGACUGCCAGUGAUAAACUGGAGGAAGGUGGGGAUGACGUCAAAUCAUCAUGCCCCUUAUGACCUGGGCUACAAACGUGAUACAAUGGUCGGUACAAAGGGUUGCCAAGCCGCGAGGUGGAGCUAAUCCCAUAAAACCGAUCGUAGUCCGGAUCGCAGUCUGCAACUCGACUGCGUGAAGUCGGAAUCGCUAGUAAUCGUGAAUCAGAAUGUCACGGUGAAUACGUUCCCGGGCCUU